GAUGAACGCUGACAGAAUGCUUAACACAUGCAAGUCUUUGGCGAAUCUGUGCUUGCACAGGCUAGCCAAGGCGGACGGGUGAGUAACGCGUAAAGAACUUGCCCUGCAGACAGGGAUAACAGACGGAAACGACUGAUAACACCUGAUACAGUUGCCGGCACGCAUGUGCCUGGCAAUGAAAAGAGAUGCUGCAGGAGAGCUUUGCGUCCUAUUAGCUUGUUGGUGAGGUGACGGCUCACCAAGGCGAUGAUAGGUAGCCGGCCUGAGAGGGUGAACGGCCACAAGGGGACUGAGAUACGGCCCUUACUCCUACGGGAGGCAGCAGUGGGGAAUAUUGGACAAUGGGGGCAACCCUGAUCCAGCAAUUCUGUGUGCACAAAGAAGGUUUUCGGAUUGUAAAGUGCUUUCAGCAGGGAAGAAGAAAGUGACGGUACCUGCAGAAGAAGCGACGGCUAAAUACGUG
rnacentral:rRNA from 1 species